rnacentral:rRNA from 1 species
CAGUCGCCGCGGGAAUACGUAGGUGGCAAGCGUUGUCCGGAAUUAUUGGGCGUAAAGGGCUCGCAGGCGGUUUCUUAAGUCUGAUGUGAAAGCCCCCUGCUCAACCGGGGAGGGUCAUUGGAAACUGGGAAACUUGAGUGCAGAAGAGGAGAGUGGAAUUCCACGUGUAGCGGUGAAAUCCGUAGAUAUCGAGAGGAACACCGGUGGCGAAGGCGGCCAACUGGACGAACACUGACGCUGAGACACGAAAGCGUGGGGAGCAAACAGGAUUAGAUACCCGAGUAGUCCCUGUCUCUUAUAC